GGCGGGAGCGAUUCGGUAGCAGAGAUGCAAAAGAUGAGACGGCCCCGAGCAGCCCGUUGGGAACAGGGAGAGUUUGAGAAGGUGAAUUCCUAUUUUCCUGGAGCUGGGCAAAAGGAAAGGUCAUUGGUAGAAGAGGACUCUCCAGAUGAAUAGACAGGAGCUUUUCUCAAUGAGUGAAGUGCUACCUAUCCGUCCUUGAGUUGGCAGAAAACCAGGCUGG